CUCCCUGCCCUGAAGCCUAGGAGAGCUUCACAGAACCAGAAAUGUCUGCAGAAACCAAGAACUCACACACUGACAAGGGGCUCUCGCUCGCUGUCAGUAGAGCGUGUUUGCCACACAAGUAACAGCUAUGAUGGGGAAGCGGGGAGGGUUUGACUGUCUUCACUGCUCAUCUUCAUUUCCACAAUGGUGGCGUUUCAGCCCCCUUCGUGGGAAGCUGGAGAGGACGCCUGAAUGGAUGGGAAGGCACAUUCCCGGAGCCGCCUCCUUCUCCAUACACACGGCUGAGGAGAUCGGACUGGAGCCGCCUGCAAGGAACAAGGGCUUCUAACUCUCUCUCUCGCUCUCUCUCUCCUCUCUUACCAUGCUGCAAAAUUGUAUUUUCAUUGUGAUUUAAAAGAACGCAACUCUA